rnacentral:rRNA from 1 species
GUGUCAGCCGCCGCGGUAAUACAGAGGGUGCGAGCGUUGUUCGGAAUUACUGGGCGUAAAGGGCGCGUAGGCGGCUUUAUAAGUCAGAUGUGAAAGCCCACGGCUUAACCGUGGAAGUGCAUCUGAUACUGUGAGGCUUGAGUAUGGGAGAGGAAAGUAGAAUUCCCGGUGUAGAGGUGAAAUUCGUAGAUAUCGGGAGGAACACCUGUGGCGAAAGCGACUUUCUGGACCAAUACUGACGCUGAGGCGCGAAAGCGUGGGGAGCAAACAGGAUUAGAAACCCCCGUAGUCC